rnacentral:rRNA from 1 species
UUGUCUCGCUCAGAUUGAACGCUGGCGGCAGGCCUAACACAUGCAAGUCGAGCGGAUGAAGUGAGCUUGCUCAUGGAUUCAGCGGCGGACGGGUGAGUAAUGCCUAGGAAUCUGCCUGGUAGUGGGGGACAACGUUCCGAAAGGGGCGCUAAUACCGCAUACGUCCUACGGGAGAAAGCGGGGGAUCUUCGGACCUCACGCUAUCAGAUGAGCCUAGGUCGGAUUAGCUAGUUGGUGGGGUAAUGGCUCACCAAGGCGACGAUCCGUAACUGGUCUGAGAGGAUGAUCAGUCACACUGGAACUGAGACACGGUCCAGACUCCUACGGGAGGCAGCAGUGGGGAAUAUUGGACAAUGGGCGAAAGCCUGAUCCAGCCAUGCCGCGUGUGUGAAGAAGGUCUUCGGAUUGUAAAGCACUUUAAGUUGGGAGGAAGGGCAGUAAGCUAAUACCCUGCUGUUUUGACGUUACCAACAGAAUAAGCACCGGCUAACUUUGUGCCAGCAGCCGCGGUAAUACGGAGGGUGCGAGCGUUAAUCGGAAUUACUGGGCGUAAAGCGCGCGUAGGUGGUUCGUUAAGUCGGAUGUGAAAGCCCCGGGCUCAACCUGGGAACUGCAUCCAAAACUGGCGAGCUAGAGUACGGUAGAGGGUGGUGGAAUUUCCUGUGUAGCGGUGAAAUGCGUAGAUAUAGGAAGGAACACCAGUGGCGAAGGCGACACUCUCGCAACCACUUGGUUUCAUCAUUUGACGGUUGCCGCGGCG